CGUCAUUCACUGCCCACCCCAUUAUGUUAAUCUUUCUGGCUUUACAUAUCUCCUCCCAAAGACCAGCCUCUGCUAAGAACUCUACACUUAGCUGUCAGAGAUACAAGAGCGUACUCAGUAAAUGCUUGCUUUACUUCAUCUACAACAUUUUGUGCCAUGGAGCAAUGUUCUUUGAAUCUAGUGUAACUGCUUUAACAAGGUGUUACUUUGAGUUUCUGCAUUAGAAGCUCAUCUCAACAGAAGAAUGCAAAGCAGGAAUUGUUAGCGUUUGGGCAGCUAUUUGGAAAACAUAGUUUCUAUGCAGGAUUUUAAACUACUGAAAUUAGGCUUGGGUUUGGGGUUUUUUUAUCUUCAAAAGAAGAGCUAGUAAGACUAAACCACAAGUCCUGGGCCAGAUAAACUGAAGCUGAAACUGUAUUUUUUUUAACUGUAAGAACCAUAAGUAUGAGACACCAAGAAGUUCCUGCUAGUGAAGCAAAUGUAUUAUAUACAAGGAUAGGACCUUCAUGUACAGGUAACAAUAUUACAGUCAGCUCUGUGCAUCACAUGAAGGACAAACCUUGCCUCACCAAAAGAAGAGGAUGUCCCAGUGAUACUUGGACCGAGAACCAAGCUACCAGUACUCAUAUGCAAAAACAAACCAUCAGCAAUCAGUUCCACAGCUUGGGUAACAGCGAAUUAAACCGCAGCGAUGAAUGCUACACAGAGACGUCAGUUAUUGCUCAGCCCAUAUUUGUUUUUGAAAAGAAAGAACGACCUUUCAAGAGGCCUGCAGAAGACCUGGUUUGCAAGGCUGAAAAUGAUUUCAUUGGUUGUUCCAGGAAACGGGCAAGAUCUUCAUCUUUUACUUUCCAAACGUCCGACUCGCAGUUCUACAUGGAUACUGCACUCUCUCAGAAAAGAGUGAGAUCAUCUUCCUGUACCAUCCUUCCGACCUUUCCUCCAUCACAGCCGGUAAAGAAUAACAUAUUCAUGACCUCAGCUCUUCUCCAAAGAAACCAUGACAUCACAAGAACAGAAAAAGGACCCUUGUCACAAAUUCAGCAGUGGACUGUCAUAAGACCUGCCAUUUUACAGCCACCACAGUCUCAGAUAUGUGAGGAAAGAAGGCAGAUGUGCACUGAAAAUACACUGGCAUCUUCCAAAACUAAAGAGAAAGCAAAUAUUCAGUUAUCUGAAGAGAGCUCUUAUUGCCCAGCAGAAAACUCAGCAAGUUCCGAGACAACAGUGAGGCCAUCUAUCUCCAUGCAUCUUUCUAGCCCUAAAACAAUAGGAAAUCAGCCAGUAGAAGAUGUAACUUUUUUAAACAACAGAAAUUCUACUUUUGUGUUUGGAGAAAACAUGGUAGAGAGAGUUUUGAGUCCUCAGAAAUCUCCCAAGCUGAAUAAUGAAACUGAUCUAUGCAAGAAAGAAAUAACAUCCACAGACGCCAAAACUUUUCAUAUUAGUUAUUCACAUAGUAAAACAUUUUUUGUCAAGAAGUCAACACUAAUUGAAUCAGCUGCGGCUUACAUUUCCAAACCAGCACAGACAUAUUUGUUAGAGAAAGUUGAAGUUAUAACAGGGGAAGAAGCAGAACAUAAUGUGUUGCAGAUCAGUUGCAAGCUUUUUGUAUUUAAUAAACUCUCACUAUCCUGGACUGAAAGAGGAAGAGGAUCCCUGAGGCUUAAUGACACUUCAAGCAAUAAACAUGGAACAUUACAGUCAAGGCUUGUUAUGCGAAAUCAAGGCAGUUUGAGACUGAUUCUCAACACCAAACUCUGGACUCAGAUGGUGAUAGAAAGAGCAAAUCGCAAGAGUCUGUGCAUCACUGCGACAGACCUAGAAGACCAUUCUGUUAAAGUAUUUCUAAUACAGGCAAGUUCAAAAGAUACUGGGUACCUGUAUGCAGCAAUACAUCACCGUCUUGUUGCACUGCGAAGCUUUGCUGAGCAAGAAGUGGAUGCAAAUCAGGUUGACACAGAGCCAGAAACAGCCUUUCAUUCAUUAAACUGUGAUAGUGAUGAUGAUGAUGAAGAUGAAACAAUAACUCAAGCGAGCAGCAAUGGAUCAGAAGUCUAUUUAUGAGGAUCCAGAUCUACAAGGGAGAAGAGAUAGGUAUGGGGAAUAUACCCGAGGGGCUGGGGAGACAGAUGCUACCAUCAGAUGAGGGCAGGAGACAAAAACUCACAGAUCAUUCUAGAUGGAUCCGCAGACAGCCUGUUGUUUGCUCAUGACAACUACCUAUGAUUACAGCAAUACAGUUGGUAGUUUCAUCUUGCUGAAAAUUGUAAACCAUCUCAGCAAUCCUUGGAGUAAGGAAAUCCUACGCAUUCACGUUCUAUGAUUUUCAAGCAAAGAUUAACUUUCAGGACAACAUAAGCUUAAUACAGCAGAAAUUGACUUCAGAAGCACUUUAAGGAUUCCAAUCUUCAUUCCUUGCGCUGGAAUGGGAAUGAUGGGGUGGCCUCCAGUAUUCAAGAAACUUUACAAAGCUUUCAGAUUUGGAAUUAAUCAUAUAUAGAGACAUUAAUAACCUGAUGGAUUUUAUAUCUAAUCAAGGUUCAUUCAUCAUAUUGAUGGAGAGAAUUGUUUAACCAUCAAAUAGUGAUAUUUCUAAAAGAAGAUAUAUUUAUUGUUUGUUUCAGUUAUGUAAUGUCUGUCCAUAAAAAGAUGUAUAUUAUGAAAACUUUAAACAUCAUUUUAUUGGAAAGAGCCAUUGUAAUUGUUUGGUAACAUUCAAGGUCCUAUGCCGCAGUCCGUAUUCAUGCAGAACUCCUUGUGAAUGGGAGUUUCAUAUGAAUGAAGUCUACGGAAACUAACCUUUAAUUAAAUAAGAUCUUUGUUUUGAAAAUCUCA